rnacentral:rRNA from 1 species
UACGUAGGGACCGAGCGUUGUCCGGAUUCAUUGGGCGUAAAGAGCUCGUAGGCGGCCACUCAAGUCGAAUGUGAAACCUCGAGGCUUAACCUCGAGCCUGCAUUCGAUACUGGGCGGCUAGAGUCUGGUAGGGGGAUCUGGAAUUCCUGGUGUAGCGGUGGAAUGCGCAGAUAUCGAGAGGAACACCAGUGGCGAAGGCGAGUCCCUGGACAGAUCCUGACGCUGAGGCACGAAAGCUAGGGGAGCAAACAGG